rnacentral:rRNA from 1 species
UACGAAGGGGGCUAGCGUUGCUCGGAAUCACUGGGCGUAAAGCGCACGUAGGCGGAUCUUUAAGUCAGGGGUGAAAUCCUGGAGCUCAACUCCAGAACUGCCUUUGAUACUGGGGAUCUCGAGUCCGGGAGAGGUGAGUGGAACUCCGAGUGUAGAGGUGAAAUUCGUAGAUAUUCGGAAGAACACCAGUGGCGAAGGCGGCUCACUGGUCCGGUACUGGAUGCUGAGGUGCGAAAGCGUGGGGAGCAACAGG